rfam:Canis lupus familiaris chromosome 25, whole genome shotgun sequence.
CGGGGGAGGCCGGAUCCUGGGCUGUGUCCCGGCGCCCUGUGCUCCGGGGCCUGCGCUGUUGGAUUCAUGCUCCCGCCCCGCAGCCCCCU